UGGGGAGUCUUGCGCAAUGGACGAAAGUCUGACGCAGCCACGCCGCGUGAGUGAAGAAGGCCUUCGGGUUGUAAAGCUCUGUCGGACGGGACGAAAGGUGUACGGUUAAUACCCGUGCAUUUUGACGGUACCGUUAAAGGAAGCACCGGCUAACUUCGUGCCAGCAGCCGCGGUAAUACGAAGGGUGCAAGCGUUGCUCGGAAUUAUUGGGCGUAAAGGGCAGGUAGGUUGUCUUAUUUGUCUGGGGUGAAAGCCCAGGGCUUAACCCUGGAAGUGCCCCGGAAACGGUAGGACUAGAGUCUCAGAGAGGGUCGCGGAAUUCCCGGUGUAGCGGUGAAAUGCGUAGAGAUCGGGAGGAACACCAGAGGCGAAAGCGGCGGCCUGGAUGAGUACUGACACU
rnacentral:rRNA from 1 species